UACGUAGGGUGCAAGCGUUUGUCCGGAAUUAUUGGGCGUAAAGAGCUCGUAGGCGGCCUGUCGCGUCGGAUGUGAAAAUCCAAGGCUCAACCUUGGACCUGCAUUCGAUACGGGCAGGCUAGAGUUCGGUAGGGGAGACUGGAAUUCCUGGUGUAGCGGUGAAAUGCGCAGAUAUCAGGAGGAACACCGGUGGCGAAGGCGGCCACCUGGACGGAUACUGACGCUGAGACGCGAAAGCGUGGGGAGCAAACAGG
rnacentral:rRNA from 1 species